CAAGCAGAUAAUGGAUGCCUAGACUUGUUUGGACGAAGAAGGACGUACAAGACCACGAAAGUCGUCGGGGAGCUGUCUAAAAGCUAUGAUCCGGCGGUGUCCGAAUGGGGAAACCCACUCCAAUGAAAAUUGGAGUAUCUCGAUACUUGUAUCGAGAGGAAAACCAGGGGAACUGAAAUAUCUAAGUACCCUGAGGAAAAGAAAUCGCACGAGAUUCCCUUAGUAAGCGACGAGCGAAAAGGGAACAGCCUAAACUCUGAUUUAUCAGAGGGUUGCAGGACCUCAAUAUUGGAUUCUCAGAAAUAGUAGAACUCGGUGGAAUACGAGACCAUAGAACGUGACAGUCGUGUAUGCAAAAUCGACGAGAGCCAUAGAGGAUUCCUAAGUAAGUUGGGAGACGGCAAACUCCCUUCCGAAUCUGGGGUGACCACACUCCAAGGCUAAAUACCAAACAAGAGCGAUAGUGAACGAGUACCGUGAGGGAAAGGUGAAAAGAAGGGUCGAAGACCCCGUGAAAUAGUACCUGAAAUUAUCUGCUAACAAUCAGACAGAGCUCCGUAAGGAGUGAUGUCGUGCUUAUUGAAGAAUGAGCCGGCGAGUUAAGGGAAUGUGCAAGCAUAAGAUACGACGUAUCGUAUGCGAAGUGAAAGCGAGCCUGAAUAGGGCGUUUAGUACAUUCCUUUAGACCCGAAACCGGGUGAGCUUACCAUGGCCAGGAUGAAACUUCAGUAACAUGAAGUGGAGGUCCGCACCGGUGACUGCUGCAAGAGUCUCGGAUGAGCUGUGGUAAGGGGUAAUAUGCCAAUCGAACCCGGAGAUAGCUGGUUCUCCCCGAAAUAUAUUUAGGUAUAGGGUUAUGUAAAGUUGCAAGGGGGUAAAGCUCUGAUUUGACACUUGGGAGGUAACUUCCGAUGUCUAGUUAAACUUCAAAUACCUUGCGUAUGUUUCAUAGCACUCAGUAUCUGGGGGCUAAGCUCCAGAGGCGAGAGGGAAACAUCCCAGAUCUACGAUUAAGGUCUCUAAUAUUUGUUUAGUGGAAAAGGAAGUGUUAUUCCGAAGACACCUAGGAGGUCGGCUCAGAAGCAGCCAUCCUUGAAAGAAAGCGUAACAGCUCACUAGCCGAGGAAUAGCGCGCCGAAAACGUAACGAGGCUCAAACAAAUAACCGAAAUCUAGAACUUGAUUUAAUUUAUUAAAUCAAUUGGUAGGGGAGCGUUCUGUGUACAGUGAAGUCCCGCCGCGAGGACGGGAUGGAGUGAUCAGAAGUGAGAAUGCCGGCAUGAGUAGCGAAAUGAAAGUGAAAAUCUUUCACCCCGAAUUUCCAAGGUUUCCGCACCCACGUUCGUCGUGUGCGGGUAAGGCGACCCUAAGGUGAGGCCUAGUGGCGUAGCCGAUGGAUUACUGGUUGAUAUUCCAGUCCUUGGUAUUAUUCGUUAUGACUUGGGGAGUAACGGUGUUGGAUAAGACACACGAAACGGUGAAUGUUUCGUUUAAGCAGCAAAGCAGUCUCUAUAGGCAAAUCCGUAGAGGCGUUUACAAGAGCUGUUAUGACAAGUUUGUUCAGCAAUGAACGAGCAAGGUGUACGACUUCAGCGCCCUGGAAAAGCUUCGCAAGCAGAAUAGUAUCAAAUCGUACCGAUAACCGACACAGGUGGAAUGGUCGAGUAGACCAAGGGGAGCGAGAGAAGGUAGUUCAAGGAACUCGGCAAAAUAGCUGGGCGUAAUUUUGAAAGAUGCCCUUCCUCCAACGCAGGUUGGAGGAGACAGCAAAAGACGUGAGAUUGACUGUUUACCAAAAACACAGGUCCGUGCAAACUCGUAAGAGGAUAUAUACGGGCUGAAACCUGCCCAGUGCCGGAAGGUUAACUGCGAGGGUGGUACCGCAAGGUCCUGCUUUCAAUGGAAGCCCCGGUGAACGGCAGCAGUAACUAUAACUGUUCUAUGGUAGCGAAAUUCCUUGUCGCUUAAUUGGCGACCUGCACGAAAGGCUUAACAAGUCUCAUACUGUCUUGAACUAUUACUCGGCGAAAUUGAAAUGGCUGUGAAGAUGCGGCCUACUGGCGGCAGGACAAAAAGACCCCAUGAAGCUUUACUACAACUUGACACUGUUGUUUUUCUUGAAUUUGUCUAGUAUAGGUGGGAGAGCCCUGAUUUAGUUUGGGCUCGUCAGUGUAAUACCACUCGAUUCAUUUAGAAUAACUCACCCGACCUCACUGCAACGUGAGGGGGAACACUGUUUGGUGGGUAGUUUAACUGGGGAGGUUGCUUGCUAAAGAGUAACGCAAGCGCGCAAUGGUACCCUUGGCCUGGAUGGAAAUCAGGCUGGACGUGCAAUAGCAUAUGGGUGCUUAACUGUGAGGCUGACAAGCCGAGCAGAUGCGAAAGCAGGUUAUAGUGAUCCUCGUGCACUUUGUGGAAGGUGCCGGGCUUAACGGAUAAAAGCUACUCUGGGGAUAACAGAGUCAUCGCGCCUAAGCGUCCCUAGCGUCGGCGCGGUUUGCUACCUCGAUGUCGGCUCAUCGCAUCCUGGGGCUGAAGAAGGUCCCAAGGGUUAGUCUGUUCGCCUAUUAAAGCGGUACGCGAGCUGGGUUCAGACCGUCGUGAGACAGGUCGGCCUCUAUCCGCCGUCAGCGUUAGAUAUUUGAGGAAAUUUGCCCUUAGUACGAGAGGACCGGGGUGAGGUAAUCCCUAGUGUUCCUGUUGUCGCUGUCAAGCGCACCGCAGGGUAGCUACAUUACUAUCGGAUAACCGCUGAAAGCAUCUAAGCGGGAAGCCAAUUCCAAGAUGAAAUAUCUCCAUUAGACCCCUGGAAGACUACCAGGUUAAUAGGCAGCCGGUGUACCUCUGGUAACAGAGUAAGCCUAGCUGUACUAAGUGUCAAUUGAACAUAAU
rnacentral:rRNA from 1 species